CCUUCCAAGCCUUUUCAGUCGGUUGGAAGAUUGCUUUGGUUCUUCUGUGACUUUUAAAAAAAAUUUGUGUGUGUAAUACAACAAAUACACAGCUCCCAAAGCACUUUGUAUAGCAAAACAUAAGUCAUAUAGCUCAGUAUUGGGUCAUAAAACCAACCAACAGGCAGCUGUCCCACUUCCUGUCAUAACUUGACCCUCAGAGCCAGCCAUGCCAGUGGGUCUAGUCUCCCAUUUCCCUGUUUGCAUGGAUUUUAUUUUUCUGCCCCUUCACAGGGUGACACUUGGGUUGUCUCCAGCAGGGGCUGUCACAGAUAUGGCUGUGUCACAGAAUGCUGCCAGCUCCCCCAGGAAUGCCAUCCAACCCAGCAGCUGCUCCAUGAGCAUUAUUAUCUCCCACGAAUGCACCCCAAGUCAUCUCUUACUUAUUUGGCCAAGAUGCAAAAUGUGCCCUUCGCCAACAUCCAGAAGGUUCUGACACAGCAGCCUGCCUGUGUGCCAGCCAGCCCUGCUGAGCUUCUCCACGGAGACCCACACUCCCCAGGAAACACCCAAGGACUGAGUUGUCUUCUCCUCUCCUCUGUGCCAGCUUCUCAGGCCUGUGGCUGCCGAGCAC
rnacentral:lncRNA from 1 species